UAGUCCACGCCGUAAACGAUGGAUACUAGCUGUCCGGGUCCUUGAGACCUGGGCGGCCAAGCGAAAGUGAUAAGUAUCCCACCUGGGGAGUACGUUCGCAAGAAUGAGACUCAAAGGAAUUGACGGGGGCCCGCACAAGCGGUGGAGCAUGUGGUUUAAUUCGAUGAUACGCGAGGAACCUUACCAGGGCUUAAAUGCAUAUUGACAGGGCUAGAGAUAGCUUUUCCUUCGGGCAAUUUGCAAGGUGCUGCAUGGUUGUCGUCAGCUCGUGCCGUGAGGUGUCAGGUUAAGUCCUAUAACGAGCGCAACCCCUGUCGUUAGUUGCCAGCGAGUCAUGUCGGGGACUCUAACGAGACUGCCGGUGCAAGCCGCGAGGAAGGUGGGGACGACGUCAAAUCAUCAUGGCCUUUAUGCCUGGGGCUACACACGUGCUACAAUGGUAGGUACAGAGGGCAGCGAAGCGGCGACGUGGAGCCAAUCCCUUAAAAGCCUAUCCCAGUUCGG
rnacentral:rRNA from 1 species